rnacentral:rRNA from 1 species
UACGUAUGGUGCAAGCGUUAUCCGGAUUUACUGGGUGUAAAGGGAGCGUAGGCGGCGCGUUAAGUCUGAUGUGAAAACCCGAGGCUCAACCACGGGAGUGCAUUGGAAACUGGCGAGCUGGAGUGCCGGAGAGGUAAGCGGAAUUCCUAGUGUAGCGGUGAAAUGCGUAGAUAUCAGGAGGAAUACCGUUAGCGAAGGCGGCAAUCUGGCUGGAAACUGACGCUGAGGUGCGAAAGCGUGGGUAGCAAACAGG